AGGUCGAAUUCUGCCCUGAUUUACACCCCAUGACCUGGCAGCAGCUAAAGUUUUGCAGACAACCCGACGAGAUAAUCAUCACACGCUGGCAAUCACUUGCCAUCAAUUAUCCCCACGCUGCUGCUGUCAGUGGAUCACAGCCCCUACCUGGUGGGAGUCACUGCUGGUGCCACCGAGGCAUUUUCCAGAAAUGUAGUGUGGGGACGAUGGGAAACAGCUUCCAGACAGGCUCUGAGAUUGAUAUGCACGCCAAAGGGAAAUGCAUUAAACUAUUUAACUGCCUGGAAAUCCAGCAUAAUGAACAUCCAAAGCAUCUCCUUCCAGAGGCUGAUUCCUGCCGUGUUUGAAGCACAAUUGCUGAUAUUCAGGAUCAUCUUCCAGCCCCUCCCGAUAGCUGGGAGCUGUUUCAGGCAGCAGCAGGAUCCCACCCAUUCCUGGGAGCUCCGCAGGAUACCCCAGUGAUAAAACCCUGGUUUUUGGGAUUUACGGGCACAUAACCCCCCAGAGCAGCACCUGAGCUGGAGACUGUGGGAAAACAAAACCAAAGAGGUGUAAAAUGGAGCCACUUUCUUUCCCAGCCUGCAUUCCUGGGAUGAGGCAAAAGAAGGAGCUGCUCCAUCCCUGUGGAUGAGCUGCUCCUGCUGCCAGCACAUAUCGGCUGUUAAAUGCUUACCCAGCACCGGGAGGGGGUUAUUAGGAGCAGUGAAUUCCUUUGAUAAGUUCCCAGGUCAUAAAGAUGUUUGACUCCUCAUUUGCACGUUCCUCUCGGAAUCGAUCAAAGCAGAAAAGCUGGAGGGUAAAAAUCGAUAAGAGAGAAGGGUCUGUGGGAAGACGUAUGGAUAGAGCUGGGCAGGGGCAGGGCAAUCAGUUAUUGUGCUAAUUGAUGGCAGAAUGAGAACUCAGAAUUGAUCAGAGGCUGCCUGGGCUGAUACAACUCAGUGGCUCCAGAAUCCUGCUCUGGAGAUCUCUCAGAGGGAUGCUCGGAUCAGCUGCACCGUUCCCAACCUGCUCAGCUGCAGGGGUUUAUUGACAGGGAAAAGCAAAAUGAGCCUGGCUCUGGGUUAGAUCCCCCAAAAAGCAGGACUCUGCUGAUCAGGGCUCCUGCUAUUCCAGCAGAUUUCCACUGCUAUGUGGAUCCAGGGGCUGUUGGUGUAUCCAUGAAUCACCCACCCUCUCCUCCACUGAGGGUUUAGAGCAACCUCUGCCUCCCUCCAGAGCAGCACAGGACAUCAAGAAUAAAUAAUUCACCCUCCUGACACUCUUGAGGGCUGGAGCCUGUCCAGAGGAGAGAGGAGACUGAGGCACAGGCACAGUGAAGAGCUGGUUGCUCCUGAACCUCACUGUGAGAGGAGAUCAGAGAUCAGGAGAUCAGCUGUGCACCAAGGCUGUUCCCAGUUUUUGCAGAGUGUUCCCAGCACUGCUGCUGUGGGAUGAGACAGGAAUCCUCCUGCCCCAGGCUGCCCUGGAAGGCACAGGUUUGACAUUCCCAGUGAGUAUUUCUGGGUGAAACAGAGCUCGAACACCAGAGGGAAGCCUACAGACCCCUCUUCUUGGAAGGUAUGCAAUCAGAUAAACCAGAUCCAAUCCACCUGCUUGUGCCCUCCAGGUGGGAAUUCCUGUUUUCCAUGGGGCAAACUAUGCUCCAAUUCUCCUCCCUGCAGUUCCCUGAAACAAAUCAUACUUUGGGGAUAAUUUCUGGAAGAUCUGCCCUGAAGCUGGAUGGGAGGAAGGUCAAAGCCACCUCCAUUGCAAAGCUGCAGCAGUGACCCCACAAAGGGAACAUCAGUCCCAGAUGGCUUCCAGCACUGGGAAUUCUGAAGACCAGGUAAGAAAAAAAGGAGUUUAAACAA